rnacentral:tRNA from 1 species
UGGGACCGUAGGGUAGCCUGGUCCAUCCUCCCAGCCCGGGGAUGGACAAGAUCCACUGGAACGCUGGAGACCCGAGUUCAAAUCUCGGCGGUCCCAUC